rnacentral:rRNA from 1 species
ACACGACUACAUUAGACUACCCCCGUAGUCCUAGGCGUAAAUGAUGCGAGUUAAGUGUGGGGGCAUCUACGAGAUGGCCCUGUGCUGUAGGGUAGCCGUUAAACUCGCUGCCUGGGAGUACGGUCGCAAGGCUGAAACUUAAAGGAAUUGGCGGGGAGCACCACAACGGGUGGAGCUUGCGGUUUAAUUGGAUUCAACGCCGGAAAUCUUACCGGGACCGACAGCAACAUGAAGGCCAGGCUGAAGACUUUGCCGGAUUAGCUG